rnacentral:rRNA from 1 species
GCGAACACAGGUGAGGUGGGAUAACCCGCUGAGUUUAAGCAUA